rnacentral:Y_RNA from 1 species
GCCUGGUCCAAGCGCAGUGGUGUUUAAAACUAAUUGAUCACAACCAAUUAGAUUCCUUUGUUCUUUCUCCACUCUCACUGCUUCAUUAACUAGCCUGAA